UACGAAGGGUGCAAACGUUGCUCGGAAUUAUUGGGCGUAAAGCGCACGUAGGCGGCUUUGCAAGUCGGAUGUGAAAUCCCUCGGCUUAACCAAGGAAGUGCAUCCGAAACUGCAGAGCUUGAGUACUUAAGAGGAUCGCGGAAUUCCCGGUGUAGAGGUGAAAUUCGUAGAUAUCGGGAGGAACACCAGUGGCGAAGGCGGCGAUCUGGGAAGAUACUGACGCUGAGGAGCGAAAGCGUGGGGAGCGAACAGG
rnacentral:rRNA from 1 species